UGUUGUCAGUAUUUGAAGUGCCCUUUGCAGGCAGGGUGAAGGAAUGGGGCCUUCACCCCCGUGAACCAGGAUAGCUACUACUGAUGGAUGAUCUAUGAGGACUUCUUACAGACAUGGUGCAGGAGAGUCCUCAGAUGAGUUUUGAGAAUGGCUGAGCUCUAGGCUGGGUGAAGAACUACCAUUUGACCACGCACCCAGGAGAGCCAGCAGAAAGCAUCGGUGUGUGCAUUACAUUUACAAGUGACUGGGAACGGUGCACGUGGUGAGCUCGUGCCGGCUUGGCAGCACCCCAGUGCACCCCAAAACUGUAGGACGAGGCCGGGGAGCGACACGGAGGCUUGAGCACGGGAGCUGGGCCAAGGUCUGCGAGGAGCAGAGGACCUCCGCGAGCGGGGCUGGCGCGUCCCUGCUGCGUGGAGAUGCUCCACGGGCAGAUUUGGGCACCUGCUGGGGACUGUCUCGCUGGUGAGAGCGGUACCCAGAGCCUCGGGAGCCACUGGGUGGCGUGUCGACACUUCAAGACGUGGAAGAGCCGGGUCGGUGG